GCCAGUGAUGAUCUGUAAUUGGUUGCUGAACAGGCACAUUGAUUGUCUGCACUCUGUUGAUAUUAUGCAUGAACUAGGACGGUCUGAGGC
rfam:Brachypodium distachyon strain Bd21 chromosome 1, whole genome shotgun sequence.